rnacentral:rRNA from 1 species
CGAGAGGACCGGGACGGACGUACCUCUGGCGCACCAGUUGUUCCGCCAGGAGCAUAGCUGGGCAACUACGUACGGAUCGGAUAAACGCUGAAAGCAUCUAAGCGUGAAGCCGACCCAAAGAUAAGAUAUCCCACUGAUUUAAUCAGGUAAGACCCCUUGAAGACUACAAGGUUGAUAGGCACGAUGUGUAAGUGGAGCGAUCCAUUCAGCAAGCGUGUACUAAUAGGUCGAGGGCUUGACCACAA